CUUAUACUCCCUCCGUUCAAAAAUUCUUGUCUUAAAUUUGUCUAGAUACGGAUGUAUCUAACACUAAAACGUAAUUAAAUACAUCUGUAUUUAGACAAAUCUAAGAUAAAAUUUUUGGGACGGAGGGAGUAUUUA
rfam:Triticum aestivum genome assembly, contig: Triticum_aestivum_CS42_TGACv1_scaffold_146325_2BS